rnacentral:misc_RNA from 1 species
GAAAUGCGAUACGUAAUGUGAAUUGCAGAUUACCGUGAAUCAUCAAAUUCUUGAACGCAUAUUGCACUCAUGGGUAUUCCUAUGAGUAUGCCUGUUUCAGUAUCAGUGUUCAUCCUCAAACCUUUGGGUUUGGAAUUGAGCCAUCCUAGGUUAUCCUUUGGCUUAACCUGCGAGGCUUAAAAUGCAGACAAAGUCAGGCUUAUCUGAUACCAAAGCUGGAUAGUGCCUUUUGGGCAAUUAUUGAAAGCUGACGGUUGUGUAAGCUUGUUGCUUUUCUCCAUUGUAGAAAUCGGGUUGAUAGCCCGCCCACACCUUGAUCUGAAAUCAGGCAAGAUUACCCCCUGAACUUAA